GGGGGCUGGAGCCAAUCCCAGCAGACAUCGGUCGCCAGUCCAUCGCAGGAACUCGCUCAUUUUAAAGGGAAAAUGCACAUUUAUUUGAUGUUAUCAGAAUUCCUACUGUGAUCAAUAGUUCUCCUCCUUCAGCCUUUUUGCUAAAGUUAUUAACUAGUUUUCUGCAUUUGUCUUUCACUGAGAGGAGAGGAAACGAGAACGACACUACUCCAGACUGAGUCCAGAGUGAGUCCAGACCAAGACCAGACGACAUGAGACAAGGAGACCGCAUAAAUGAAAAGGAGGACGAGCGAGACGUCUCCUCAUCUGCAGCAGCAUCACAGACAGUUUAUUGUCUCGAACAUCUUCCUGUCUGUCAUCAAGAAGACCAAAAUCAACACUGAAUUUAUUCUUCUGACAUGUGGCUGUGUAGUCCCAUGAUGAACAUCAUUAAUGUUUGUGUUCAACCUGCUUUUUGUCCUUAAUAAAUAAAACAUAUUCACUGGACAA